rnacentral:lncRNA from 1 species
CAUUUGCAUAAUUUAAUAUGCAUGAUGUAUAUCAUUUGCAUAAUUUAUUCUGCAUGAUGUUUUUACAGGUAUGUUACUGUUUCAGUGUUUGAUAGGAAAUCUAUUUACUUUUUCUAUGAUGGGCAUGUUGAUUUGUUUUGCUGUGGAAAUUUUUAUGAUGGUGCUAAAAUUGUGUAGAGUAAGCUGACUAUAAAGUAACAGUAACUCAUAAAGCUUAUAUAAAACCAGAAAUCCAGAUAUAGAAAAGAAUUGUAUAGUUCAGAAUAUUUCUGUUAAAUUAUGAUAUUGAAGGAUGUAGAAAAAUCUUGUAACUGCUUCCUUUAGUGCACAGAGCUGAGAUACUUCAUUUAAUUUUGUACAAUUACAUAAAACAUUACUCUACUGUGAAGAGC